rnacentral:rRNA from 1 species
UGGGGAAUAUUGGACAAUGGGCGCAAGCCUGAUCCAGCCAUGCCGCGUGAGUGAUGAAGGCCCUAGGGUUGUAAAGCUCUUUCACCGGUGAAGAUAAUGACGGUAACCGGAGAAGAAGCCCCGGCUAACUUCGUGCCAGCAGCCGCGGUAAUACGAAGGGGGCUAGCGUUGUUCGGAUUUACUGGGCGUAAAGCGCACGUAGGCGGAAUAUUAAGUCAGGGGUGAAAUCCCGGGGCUCAACCCCGGAACUGCCUUUGAUACUGGUAGUCUUGAGUUCGAGAGAGGUGAGUGGAAUUCCGAGUGUAGAGGUGAAAUUCGUAGAUAUUCGGAGGAACACCAGUGGCGAAGGCGGCUCACUGGCUCGAUACUGACGCUGAGGUGCGAAAGCGUGGGGAGCAAACAGG